UUUUUUUUUUUUCUCUAGACUACUUACAGUAUCUUUACGUUUUUCUAUCUUCCAGGAAGUUAUAUAAUGAUCUUUCUUUAUAUUUCAAUUAUUUAUUCGUUUUAUCUUCCAUUUUCUUUGCCCCAUUUAUUUACCCUGUUCAUGCAUACUGCUUAAUGACAAGCUCUCUGUUGUAUUGAGUUCCCAGACCUUCAGUAUUGCGCACACCCUCUUCCCCUGUUGCAAAUUCUACCUAAUAAAGAGUGCUUGGCCCAUGGACACGCGCCUCGAACCCCUCGAUUUCCUUCUGUUACGACAUGAGUACUCGAGUCCUGCACAAGGGAACUCGGGUCACUCAGUACCUAGCUUAAGUCUUCUUACUGUAUACGGGCGUUUUGACGAGUAUAUAGAAGGGUCUUUUUCGGUGAUUUUCAUUGUUUACUCAAUUUUAUAUUACUGUUGAUGCUGUUCAAGUCACUGUCAUAACAACUUUAACCUUCUGUAUAAUUAAGUGAAAGAAAUAAGAAAGAAACUUGUGUGUAAACUUUACCAUUAAAACUAAGUAACUCUUCGGCCACCGAUUUUCUUGGGCAAUGAUGCACUGGAUCUUUUUUUAAUGACUCUGUAGCUUCAAGUGUUCAACCUUUCACAUAAAAGAUUAUACCUCCAAGUGUUCAGAUCAGAAACUCGAAGAUUCAACGCCAUCAAAAGUUUCACGAAAUGAAACUCAAGCUGAUGGCUUCCUUGGCGCUGCUGCUCACGCUGACGGCGAUGCGCGGACAGCCUCUUAGCCCCCCCUCCCCCACACCGAAGGACCCCGCCGCGCACCGCCCUCGUCGACGGCUGCAGGAGCUGCUACGUCCUCAGUCGCCGCCGGGGCUGCCGCUGGGAGCUCAGGUGCGGCUGGAUUGAAGGCCUUGGACGACACGUUGAGGGAACGUUAAACGACGUUGAUAACAUACUUUAAAAAGCGAACUCUAGCUUCACCUCACAAGUCGAAAACGCGUGGAGGGAGAAAAUUAAAGAAACAAGGAAAGACAACUUUUUUUUUUUUUUUUCGUAUCGAAAAUGUGUUUAAAUUCAUAUCGAAAAUGUGUUUAAAGAAUGUUGCAAAAGUGUCUGAAUCAAUUCCUUUAGGGUUCGACCUUCGGCUGUGAUGUAUGAAAAAAAAAAUCAAC